rnacentral:rRNA from 1 species
ACGGUGACGCUAGAGCUUGCUCUGGUUGAUCAGUGGCGAACGGGUGAGUAACACGUGAGUAACCUGCCCUUGACUCUGGGAUAACUCCGGGAAACCGGGGCUAAUACCGGAUACGAGACGCGACCGCAUGGUCGGCGUCUGGAAAGUUUUUCGGUCAAGGAUGGACUCGCGGCCUAUCAGCUUGUUGGUGAGGUAAUGGCUCACCAAGGCGUCGACGGGUAGCCGGCCUGAGAGGGCGACCGGCCACACUGGGACUGAGACACGGCCCAGACUCCUACGGGAGGCAGCAGUGGGGAAUAUUGCACAAUGGGCGAAAGCCUGAUGCAGCGACGCCGCGUGAGGGAUGAAGGCCUUCGGGUUGUAAACCUCUUUCAGUAGGGAAGAAGCGAAAGUGACGGUACCUGCAGAAGAAGCGCCGGCUAACUACGUGCCAGCAGCCGCGGUAAUACGUAGGGCGCAAGCGUUGUCCGGAAUUAUUGGGCGUAAAGAGCUCGUAGGCGGUUUGUCGCGUCUGGUGUGAAAACUCAAGGCUCAACCUUGAGCUUGCAUCGGGUACGGGCAGACUAGAGUGUGGUAGGGGUGACUGGAAUUCCUGGUGUAGCGGUGGAAUGCGCAGAUAUCAGGAGGAACACCGAUGGCGAAGGCAGGUCACUGGGCCACUACUGACGCUGAGGAGCGAAAGCAUGGGGAGCGAACAGGAUUAGAU